CUCAAAACAAACCCUGUAGAGGCUAGGCUUUAUUUAUAGUAAUUUUAAUGAAUGCUGCUAGGGGAGGUUAUUUUAGGAUACUCACAGCCUGGAUUUCCUGAAUGCCUCACCGUUAUGUAAAGCCGAAUGGAAAAGAAAGAAGAAGAAAAAGGAAAGGGAAGGCAGUUCAAACCGUGCCAUACUAAUAGUGCCUCGUGCUUCUAUGGCAUUGAAUCAGCAUGGUAUAGAAAGUCACCCCACCAUCUGCUACUGGGAGAUGACACCAUGAGUUACCACACUGGGUGACACCAACCCUAAUGAUGCCACUGGAGGAAGCGAUGUUAGGAAGACCUCAGUAGAUGAAAAUUUGACCUAUGCUGGGUACGAUUAGAACAGCAGAUUGGAUGUUGCUCUUCUAGUACUUCCCGCAGUCCUAUUAUGGCCAUGCCCUGAAACUCCUGCACCCAAAACCUGUUGAGAUUCAUCCUUCUAAAAAAAAAAAAAAAACAUUGCCCAA
rnacentral:lncRNA from 11 species